rnacentral:rRNA from 1 species
AUUGAACGCUGGCGGCAGGCCUAACACAUGCAAGUCGAGCGGAUGAAGGGUGCUUGCUCCUGGAUUCAGCGGCGGACGGGUGAGUAAUGCCUAGGAAUCUGCCUGGUAGUGGGGGAUAACGUCCGGAAACGGGCGCUAAUACCGCAUACGUCCUGAGGGAGAAAGUGGGGGAUCUUCGGACCUCACGCUAUCAGAUGAGCCUAGGUCGGAUUAGCUAGUUGGUGGGGUAAAGGCCUACCAAGGCGACGAUCCGUAACUGGUCUGAGAGGAUGAUCAGUCACACUGGAACUGAGACACGGUCCAGACUCCUACGGGAGGCAGCAGUGGGGAAUAUUGGACAAUGGGCGCAAGCCUGAUCCAGCCAUGCCGCGUGUGUGAAGAAGGUCUUCGGAUUGUAAAGCACUUUGAGUUGGGAGGAAGAGCAGUAAGUUAAUACCUUGCUGUUUUGACGUUACCAACAGAAUAAGCACCGGCUAACUUCGUG